UGUUGAACCAGCUAUAUCAUAGUAAGAUCUCUGAUCAAAUGAAGUUAGAUAAAUGGAUGGAUCUGAACUAUUAGAUGCAACUAUUGUCAAUCUUAUCUUAGUUGUCCAUAUCCUUUUUGAUUAUUAGACUUGAUUUUGUAUAAGAGAGUAGUCUCGACAAGAACAUGCCCAAAUUAGGAUAUUGCGAUAUGAUCUAUGAAUAGA
rnacentral:lncRNA from 1 species